UCGGGAUGACCUUGGUGCCGACGAGUGGCGACGGGUGAGUAACACUUAGGAAUCUGCCCAGUAUGGGGGGACAACAUUCGGAAACGGAUGCUAAUACCGCAUACGCCCUACGGGGGAAAGCGGGGGAUCUUCGGACCUCGCGCUAUUGGAUGAGCCUAAGUCGGAUUAGCUUGUUGGUGAGGUAAAGGCUCACCAAGGCGACGAUCCGUAGCUGGUCUGAGAGGACGAUCAGCCACACUGGGACUGAGACACGGCCCAGACUCCUACGGGAGCAGCAGUGGGGAAUAUUGGACAAAUGGGGGCAACCCUGAUCCAGCAAUGCCGCGUGUGUGAAGAAGGCCUGCGGGUUGUAAAGCACUUCAGUAGAGAAGAAAAGCCUAGGGUUAAUACCCCUGAGUCUUGACGUAACCUACAGAAGAAGCACCGGCUAACUCCGUG
rnacentral:rRNA from 1 species